GUGGAUCUUGGAAUCUGUUAGGAGCAUAGGAACCUUACCCAUGUGAACCUGAACCUUUAACCUUAGGAGCCAUUCAACCAACCUUACAGAAUUCGGGACAAAUUCUUUUUAAGGGGGGUAGAAUGUAGUGACCCUGUCUUAGGGUAGUUUGUGAUCGAGAAAACCAAAAUCUCUAGAUUAGGUAAACCUUGGAUGGGAUGGUGUGCAUGGUCCAAAAGAAGACAUCUUGUCAAAGA
rnacentral:lncRNA from 1 species